rfam:Delta proteobacterium NaphS2 ctg_1101087565974, whole genome shotgun sequence.
UCCGGGGAUAGGGUCGCUCCCGAAAAGCCGGAUAUCCUGGCCGGUCUGCCCCGGAUUUUUUCAGGACUG